rnacentral:rRNA from 1 species
AGUGAACGCUGGCGGUAGGCCUAACACAUGCAAGUCGAACGGCAGCACAGUAAGAGCUUGCUCUUACGGGUGGCGAGUGGCGGACGGGUGAGGAAUACAUCGGAAUCUACUUUUUCGUGGGGGAUAACGUAGGGAAACUUACGCUAAUACCGCAUACGACCUACGGGUGAAAGCAGGGGAUCUUCGGACCUUGCGUGAUUGAAUGAGCCGAUGUCGGAUUAGCUAGUUGGCGGGGUAAAGGCCCACCAAGGCGACGAUCCGUAGCUGGUCUGAGAGGAUGAUCAGCCACACUGGAACUGAGACACGGUCCAGACUCCUACGGGAGGCAGCAGUGGGGAAUAUUGGACAAUGGGCGCAAGCCUGUUCCAGCCAUACCGCGUGGGUGAAGAAGGCCUUCGGGUUGUAAAGCCCUUUUGUUGGGAAAGAAAAGCAGCAGGUUAAUACCCCGCUGUUCUGACGGUACCCAAAGAAUAAGCACCGGCUAACUUCGUG